AUGAUCCAUGAGACCUCGGGGCCUACCAUGUUUAGAGGCAAACAAGGAGUCAAGACCAGAAAUGAAAUAAGGCGAAGUCGUGCCCCUGAAGCAGUCCCGGGGCCUCUGCUAAGGGUGGAGAUGGGUGCUCCAGAGGGCCAGGUGGAGCCUUUCACAAACUGCUUGUCCCAACCUGAAUAUGCUAGCCUAACAAAGAACCCGGAGGUUGGUUUUUUGUGUUUUUUUUUUUUUUUAACACUAUUUCUUUUAUCAUGCUUGGCAUCAAAAGAAAGAAAACCAAAAAGCAGCCUCCCAAAGCUGAGCCAUCCGAGACCUCUUAAGUUUACAUUUUCAAAGUAGAGGUAGGUGGGAGUCAAGGCCAUCUCUUUUUGGUCCAAGGAUCCCAUGAGAUGAUUUGGAAGAGGCACUUCAAGGAAGCUGAGUAGAAACAGCUCUCCGAUUUCAUUAGGCCACAGCUCCCCUGCAUACCGAGCUAUACCACAUCAGACCUGGUGGGCCCCUCACCAAAUAUUUCCCCCUUUCUGCACUCUGCUUUCUAUAUCAGAACCUGCACUGGGAUAUUGAGAACAGUCGGUUGUCGACAGAUAAGUAAAAACUGAUGUGAUGUCACCAUAGAGAUGAGCAUAUAUUUUCAGAGCUGCAGACACACUUGUAUGCAUACAAUGUACAGGUCUCCCCCACUUAUCCAAAAGGAGAGCGUUCCUGUGAAACCUUUCAUAAGCUGAAAUGGUGGAAAGCAAAGAGGCAAUUGCCUCAAAGUGAAAAUCCUCUUCGGAUUUCUUUCAGUCAGUGAAAGCAGGUACUAAGAUAAGUCCUUCAUAAAAAUGAAUGAGAACUUCCAAAUAUUGGGGGACCUGUACUACAUACAGAUACUGAGUAGUUUAAAAUAUUUUUAGAAUUUCAAAUCUAACUCUUGAGGAGGGGUCUUUUCCUUGGUAUCCAUAGGGAUUGUGGGUUUUGUUUGUUUUGUUUUUCCACUGGGUUUUCUAAUCAGAAUCACAGAGGAUCAUUAAAGCAUCUUCAGUAGUGCAUCUGACGCAGAUCGGUUAAAAGACAUCAUCUAAAAAUAAAUAAAUAAAUAAAAAAUAAAAAAUAAAAAAU
rnacentral:lncRNA from 12 species